AGAGUUUGAUCCUGGCUCAGGAUGAACGCUGGCGGCGUGCUUAACACAUGCAAGUCGAACGAAGCACCUGGAUUUGACUCUUCGGAUGAAGAUCCUUGUGACUGAGUGGCGGACGGGUGAGUAACGCGUGGGUAACCUGCCUCAUACAGGGGGAUAACAGUUAGAAAUGACUGCUAAUACCGCAUAAGACCACAGGGUCGCAUGACCUGGUGGGAAAAACUCCGGUGGUAUGAGAUGGACCCGCGUCUGAUUAGGUAGUUGGUGGGGUAACGGCCUACCAAGCCGACGAUCAGUAGCCGACCUGAGAGGGUGACCGGCCACAUUGGGACUGAGACACGGCCCAAACUCCUACGGGAGGCAGCAGUGGGGAAUAUUGCACAAUGGGGGAAACCCUGAUGCAGCGACGCCGCGUGAGCGAAGAAGUAUUUCGGUAUGUAAAGCUCUAUCAGCAGGGAAGAAAAUGACGGUACCUGACUAAGAAGCACCGGCUAAAUACGUGCCAGCAGCCGCGGUAAUACGUAUGGUGCAAGCGUUAUCCGGAUUUACUGGGUGUAAAGGGAGCGUAGACGGCUGUGUAAGUCUGAAGUGAAAGCCCGGGGCUCAACCCCGGGACUGCUUUGGAAACUAUGCAGCUAGAGUGUCGGAGAGGUAAGUGGAAUCCCCAGUGUAGCGGUGAAAUGCGUAGAUAUUGGGAGGAACACCAGUGGCGAAGGCGGCUUACUGGACGAUGACUGACGUUGAGGCUCGAAAGCGUGGGGAGCAAACAGGAUUAGAUACCGUGGUAGUCCACGCCUAAAACGAUGACUACUAGGUGUCGGGGAGCAAAGCUCUUCGGUGCCGCAGCAAACGCAAUAAGUAGUCCACCUGGGGAGUACGUUCGCAAGAAUGAAACUCAAAGGAAUUGACGGGGACCCGCACAAGCGGUGGAGCAUGUGGUUUAAUUGGAAGCAACGCGAAGAACCUUACCUGCUCUUGACAUCCCGGUGACCGGCAUGUAAUGAUGCCUUUUCUUCGGAACACCGGUGACAGGUGGUGCAUGGUUGCCGUCAGCUCGUGUCGUGAGAUGUUGGGUUAAGUCCCGCAACGAGCGCAACCCUUAUCUUCAGUAGCCAGCAUUUGAGGUGGGCACUCUGGAGAGACUGCCAGGGAUAACCUGGAGGAAGGUGGGGAUGACGUCAAAUCAUCAUGCCCCUUAUGAGCAGGGCUACACACGUGCUACAAUGGCGUAAACAAAGGGAAGCGAACCUGUGAGGGUAAGCAAAUCUCAAAAAUAACGUCUCAGUUCGGAUUGUAGUCUGCAACUCGACUACAUGAAGCUGGAAUCGCUAGUAAUCGCGAAUCAGCAUGUCGCG
rnacentral:rRNA from 1 species